CUUGCUUAGAUGAGUCGAGUGGCAAACGGGUGAGUAACGCGUAGACAACCUGCCGCAAAGAUGGGGACAACAGUCCGAAAGGACUGCUAAUACCGAAUGUUGUGCAACUCCGCAUGAGGAUGCAUUAAAGAUGGCCUCUACUUGUAAGCUAUCGCUUUGCGAUGGGUCUGCGUCUGAUUAGCUAGUUGGUGGGUAACGGCCUACCAAGGCGACGAUCAGUAGCCGGUCUGAGAGGAUGAACGGCCACAUUGGAACUGAGACACGGUCCAGACUCCUACGGGAGGCAGCAGUGGGGAAUCUUCCGCAAUGGGCGAAAGCCUGACGGAGCAACGCCGCGUGAGUGAAGAAGGUCUUCGGAUCGUAAAGCUCUGUUGUCGGGACGAAUGUACCUUUGUGAAUAAUGAGAGGUAAUGACGGUACCUGACGAGGAAGCCACGGCUAACUACGUGCC
rnacentral:rRNA from 1 species